AUGAAAGAUAAGAUAGUUUAGCUGGACUGUCCAAACGUGCAAUCUCGUGUGAUUCUGACAAAUGCGCAAUCGCUUCAGAGGUUCAUCUUAAGGAAGUCCACAGGUCAAAAAAGGAAUUGACGUUAACUUAAGGAGACGGGUCAUCGUUAGAGUAAGAUUGAGAAAUGAGGUUUUCAAAAUAUUCCUCAACCAAUUUCAAUUUUAAUGAUUAUUAUGCGAAAUUGAAUCAAACGAAAGUAUAAUUAGACGCCCCUGAUUAAUUUACUUUCCUAUGUCUCAAUUGAGGAUAUUAGCCAUGCAUGAUAUGUGUACGUACAUAGGAACAAUUAAAGUUUCGUUAGCUAAUCCUUAAUUGUGAACUCGACUCAACUCGACUGGCAAGAGUUUGUAUAACAUUUUCAGUAGAUAGCUACGAGGACUAUUAGUGUUCAGGGCAUAAAGCUUGUAAUGACAAUUUCAACGUCUUUUGAAUCACUCAAAUAAGGACUAAAACGAACGAAAAAGUCUUUGGAAUCACUCAAAUCAAGACUAAA